CGCAAGCGCGUGCGGCGCCGGGCAGUGUGGAUGUCCCGGAAGUCUUCCGCUCAGUCCGCCGCUGGACGCAGCUCGGCCCGCGGGCUGGAGGGUCGGUCCCACGGAACGCGCCGAGGCCCAGGGGACAGCGGGCCUGGGGUGCCCUUCCCUGCGGCCCCUGGUUGGGGCAGACCCGGGGGCGCCCGUCCCUCUGCCCACUUAGGUUCUUUCUGCUCUGUGAUAACGCCCUCCCCCGAUGGAUGAGAAAACCAGCUGGAAGCUCAGGCUCCAAGCUGACAUCUUUUUAAACAUUGUAUGGACACCUGCUGUGUGAUCCAGACGUUCCUCUGCGAGGGGAAGGGCCCACGUACAUGGAGCUGGGCCUGGAGGUGCAUCACGACCUUAACAGCCCGGAGCCAACACAGCCCCGACGUCCAUCAGCCGAGCGCACAGAUGAGCCUGGCGAGUCCAAACGUGGACACCUCUCACUGAAAAACAGCACACUGUGCCAUCAGGGUCUUUUCAAAUGAGUCAGCUCUUCGAAUCAGGUGGCCAAAGCAUUGGAGUUUCAGCUUCAGCAUCAGCCCUUCCAGUGAACACCCAGGCCUGAUUUCCUCUGGGAUGCUCGGGCGGACGACGCGGAGAUAAGCCCAGCUUCAUCACACGAUUUCAGAGGCACACACUCUGGACGUCGUGUCUCUCAGCUGACGCUGGUCUAGACUCUGGCUGAGGCACGAUUGUGCUUUUGGUGUUGCAACAAAAAAUUGCUCGUCAAACCCAAUAUCACACAGGUCCUGAGUGUUUUUUCUCCUAGAAGCUUUAUAGUUUUGAGGUUUACAUAUAAGUAAAUUUGAGAUGGAUGUGAGGAGGAUGUGCACUCUACUGUUGCGUGGAAUGUUCCAGACAUGUCCUUGGAGAAAGUCAACUGAUGGUCUUCAUGUUGAACUGUAUCCUCCCUGGCUUCCUGACUGCUUGUCCAUCAGGUACCAGAAGAGGGCUGUUCAAGUCUCAGAGGUGAACCUGCGCUUGCCCGUUUCCCCUCGCCAUCCUGCUGGUCUCUGCUCACCUCGGCUCUUUGAUGCUCUGUGGUUUGGGAGGCAGGGAAGGCUCUUCCAAGGCCGAGACUGUAGAAGUUAUGGGGAAGUUUCACUCACCCGGCCGCUGCUCCGUCCCACUACCAGCAAAUCCCUCUCUUAGUGGCGGGUCACCUGUGCGGAACAGUGGGCAGGGAGGAGUCUGCCUGUAGAGCUGAGUUAUUCCUCCCAGCAGUCUCCGCCCCCUGCCCCCCAUAGAGGGUUAGUGUUGUCUCCUUCUGAGUGUCCCGGCCAUCUCUCCAGCCUGAAUCCUCAUGUAUGGAAAAGGCAGUCGGCAGGUAGCUUGGGUGAGAAAUAACCUUCUCUGUGAGCCGUAAGGGUCUGAGGUCACUGCUAUCCCAGCUGGCACAGACUGGCGCCUUGAUUCGGGUGCUGCACCCACAAACCCCAAAGCUGUGGCGUUGGCUCUGGGGCUGGUGGGGCUGUGUGAAACCUUGCCCAGACUGGUUCCGCGAGGCCCCGGAAAGCAGAGGUGGAGGCUGUGGACGCAGGCCCAGAGGUUUGGGGACCAAGUGAGACCACAGGGCCUUGAUGGCUGCAAGGGCUGCGGGUCCUCAGGCGGCAGGAAGCAGAGGGCAGGCAGGUGGAAGCUGGUUUGCGAGCAGUGUGGAAAGGACGGGCCCACCUCGCUUUGCUGCUCUCCGCAGCUGCUGCGUUCUCUGCAGAUUGGGGGUUUUGGCCACAGCGCGUUGCUCAAGUCUGUGCCGCUUUUUCCUUAGCAUUUGCUCACUUUGUGUCCCCGCAUCUCAGUUUUAAAUUCCUGCAGCGUUCCAAAUGCCCUUCAACGUUUUCCUAUUUAUUACCAUGCUCAGUGAUCUUUGAUGUUUCUAUUAACACUACGAUUCACCGAAGGCUCAGACAGUGGUUAGCAUCUUUUAGCAAUAAAAUAUUUUAAAUUAAGGCACAUACGUUGCUUUUUAGAAAGAAUGCUAUCUCACACUUAAUAGAACACAGUGUAGCACAAGCAUAAAUUUAUAGGCACAGGGAAACCAAAAAAUUCAUGGGACUCGGUUUACUGUGGCAUUUGCUUUAUUGGGAUGUCUGGCACCGAACCUGCAGUGUCUCGGACGUCUGCCUGUGCUCCUUCCCUCUGGCUAACACAACAUAAACUAGAGAUGUUUCACUUAACAAAGGCCAGUCAGACUCAUCCCGCUGGCAAAGACCAGACGGACAGGAUGGCCACCAGGGCUUCAGUCGUUAAUACAAUCGUGGGGCAGGCUAAGGAGACAGCCAUUGUUUCCCCAUCUAUUUGCCACGAAGUGAUGGGGAAACAAUGGAAACAGUGACAGACUUUAUUUUCUUGGGCUCCAAAAUCUCUGUGGAUGGUGACUGCAGCCAUGAAAUUAAAAGACGCUUGCUCCUUGGAAGAAAAGCUAUGACCAACCUAGAGAGCAUAUUAAAAAGCAGAAACAUUACUUUACUGACAAAGAUCUGUAUAAUCAAAGCUACAGUUUUUCCAGUAGUCAUGUAUGGAUGUGAGCCUUGGAUCAUAAAGAAGGCUAAACACCAGAGAAUUGAUGCUUUCUAACUGUGGUGCUGGAGAAGACUCUUGAGAGUCACUUGGACUGCAAGAUAAAACCAGUCAAUCCUAAAGGAAAUCAACCCUGAAUAUUCCUUGGAAGGACUGAUGCUGAAACUGAGUCUCCAAUACUUUGGCCACCUGAUGCGAACAGCUAACUCACUGUAAAAGACCCUGAUGCUGGGAAAGAUAGAAGGCAGGUGGAGAAGGGGAUGACAGAGGAUGAGAUGGUUGGGUGGUAUCACUGAGUCAAUGGACAUGAGUUUGAGCAAACUCUGGGAGAUGGCGAAGGACAGGGAAGCCUGAUGUGCUGCAGUCCGAGGGGGUCACUGAGUCGGACACAACUGAGUGACUGAACAACGGGACAGCCCAGCAGAUCUUUUUUGGGGGUGGAAAUUUGUAGGAAGAGAGAUUGAGGUCCCCACUCUCCUGAGGGAGCCCAAUAAGAUCGAGGUGACCAUUAGCAAGUCUGGAGAGGGGGCACAUCCCCAGAAACACCGUGGGCUGGGCAACUGGCCAAGUGGCCUGGAAUCAAAGAGCCACAGAGCUGGCAAAAUGCCGCGGAGGCUGUUUGGCCAGCUUAGAUUCACGGCGCCUGCAAAGGUGCGAGCCUCUGGGCCUCUGACCUCCUGUGGGCGGGAUGCAGGAUGCAUUUUCAGACAUGGUCCAGAGGGUGAUGGAAAACAAGAGGCUUCUUGGACUAGGAACCUUAUGCCACCUUGAGUAGGACUCUGGGGCCAUUUCCAGUGUCAUGCAAGUGGAGAGGAAGGCAAACGUUGUGGCCACCGGGGCGGGUGGCUGUCCUGUAUCACUGACGCCUACUCCUCCCCUCCGAAGAGGGUUGUCCCCCUCUUCAGUCAUAUCAGACUUUUCCAGACAGACGUAGCAGAGGGGGCGUGCCACACCCGAGAGAAACUUUAGGGGCGCUGUGCAGUUCUCCAGUCUCUCUUCUUUGGCCCUGAGAAUGACCUGAGAAGGUCUGCAUCCUCAGCCUGUGUCCCUCGAGAAAGAAAGCGUGCAGGGCUUACCCGGCUCAUCACCUGCACGUGACGCGAGCGAGAGAUCCAGCUCUGUGCGCGAGCCCUGCGCGAGCCCGUGGGCCCGGGGACGUUUGUUACCGCGGCAUGGUCUAGCAUGAGCUGACUGAUACCCACCGAGUCCUUACCCCACUCUUGGACCUCACCACUGACCUCCAGGUUGACAAGCGCCGCCGGGCUUCUCCUCUUCACCCUGCUCCCUGGCCCUGCAUGUACUGGCGGCACCCCCACGCUGCUGCCUCCCCAUCUGACAUAUUUGAAGCCAGGGGAGAAAGGAGGGGCGAGCAGGAGCCAGAGAAGACCCCUGCCGUGGACAGACCCCUGGGCAGAGAGGUGCUUGGCCCAGCAAUAGACGUGGGUGGUGCUUCUGGGACCCCAGGCAUUCUUGGUGCCCACAUCCUUUU
ensembl:lncRNA